GCUUUUUUGAUAUAGUGGUUAGUAAUGCUGACUGCUGUGUCAUUGUGCCUGGGUUCAAUUCCCAGAGAAAGCA